GGAUGUGAGGGUGAUAUGGCUGCAACAUCUGUCACUCCAUUGAUCGCCAGGGACGAUUUGGCUGAUCUGGCUGACUAGGCGGGUGCCCCCUUCCUCACUCACGGCUCCAGGUACAUCCCUCCUGAAGCUGCACACUCAGUCGAAGAGGACAACCUUCCCUGAUAGAGGAGGACCGUUCUUCCGUCAAGGACUGUUCUACAAGUCAAGUAGCUGUGCUUCCCUGCUAGAACCUCCAAACAAGCUUUCAAGGUCCAAGUUUCACCUUUUGGUCCACAUUAUUUAAUUUACAAUUAUAUAAUAGGUAUUUAU
ensembl:misc_RNA 7SK 7SK RNA